rnacentral:rRNA from 1 species
AUUGAACGCUGGCGGCAGGCCUAACACAUGCAAGUCGAGCGGUAACAGAAAGUAGCUUGCUACUUUGCUGACGAGCGGCGGACGGGUGAGUAAUGCUUGGGAACAUGCCUUGAGGUGGGGGACAACAGUUGGAAACGACUGCUAAUACCGCAUAAUGUCUACGGACCAAAGGGGGCUUCGGCUCUCGCCUUUAGAUUGGCCCAAGUGGGAUUAGCUAGUUGGUGAGGUAAUGGCUCACCAAGGCGACGAUCCCUAGCUGGUUUGAGAGGAUGAUCAGCCACACUGGGACUGAGACACGGCCCAGACUCCUACGGGAGGCAGCAGUGGGGAAUAUUGCACAAUGGGCGCAAGCCUGAUGCAGCCAUGCCGCGUGUGUGAAGAAGGCCUUCGGGUUGUAAAGCACUUUCAGUCAGGAGGAAAGGUUAGUAGUUAAUACCUGCUAGCUGUGACGUUACUGACAGAAGAAGCACCGGCUAACUCCGUGCCAGCAGCCGCGGUAAUACGGAGGGUGCGAGCGUUAAUCGGAAUUACUGGGCGUAAAGCGUACGCAGGCGGUUUGUUAAGCGAGAUGUGAAAGCCCCGGGCUCAACCUGGGAACUGCAUUUCGAACUGGCAAACUAGAGUGUGAUAGAGGGUGGUAGAAUUUCAGGUGUAGCGGUGAAAUGCGUAGAGAUCUGAAGGAAUACCGAUGGCGAAGGCAGCCACCUGGGUCAACACUGACGCUCAUGUACGAAAGCGUGGGGAGCAAACGGGAUUAGAUACCCCGGUAGUCCACGCCGUAAACGAUGUCUACUAGAAGCUCGGGUCCUCGGACUUGUUUUUCAAAGCUAACGCAUUAAGUAGACCGCCUGGGGAGUACGGCCGCAAGGUUAAAACUCAAAUGAAUUGACGGGGGCCCGCACAAGCGGUGGAGCAUGUGGUUUAAUUCGAUGCAACGCGAAGAACCUUACCUACACUUGACAUACAGAGAACUUACUAGAGAUAGUUUGGUGCCUUCGGGAGCUCUGAUACAGGUGCUGCAUGGCUGUCGUCAGCUCGUGUUGUGAGAUGUUGGGUUAAGCCCCGCAACGAGCGCAACCCCUAUCCUUAGUUGCUAGCAGGUAAUGCUGAGAACUCUAAGGAGACUGCCGGUGAUAAACCGGAGGAAGGUGGGGACGACGUCAAGUCAUCAUGGCCCUUACGUGUAGGGCUACACACGUGCUACAAUGGCGCAUACAGAGUGCUGCGAACCUGCGAAGGUAAGCGAAUCACUUAAAGUGCGUCGUAGUCCGGAUUGGAGUCUGCAACUCGACUCCAUGAAGUCGGAAUCGCUAGUAAUCGCGUAUCAGAAUGACGCGGUGAAUACGUUCCCGGGCCUUGUACACACCGCCCGUCACACCAUGGGAGUGGGUUGCUCCAGAAGUAGAUAGUCUAACCCUCGGGAGGACGUUUACCACGGAGUGAUUCAUGACUGGGGUG